rnacentral:rRNA from 1 species
AAGCUCAAAUUUAAAAUCUGGCGGUCUUUGGCCGUCCGAGUUGUAAUCUAGAGAAGUAAUGCCCGUGCUGGACCGUGUAUAAGUCUCCUGGGAUGGGGCGUCAUAGAGGGUGAGAAUCCCGUCUUUGACACGGACUACCAGUGCAUUGUGGUAUGCUCUCAAAGAGUCGAGUUGUUUGGGAAUGCAGCUCAAAAUGGGUGGUAAAUUCCAUCUAAAGCUAAAUAUUGGCGAGAGACCGAUAGCGAACAAGUACCGUGAGGGAAAGAUGAAAAGAACUUUGGAAAGAGAGUUAAACAGUACGUGAAAUUGCUGAAAGGGAAACGCUUGAAGUCAGUCGCAUUGGCCAGGGAUCAGCCUUGCUUUUGCAUGGUGUACUUUCUGGUUAAUGGGUCAGCAUCAAUUUUGACCACUGGAAAAGGCUCAAGGGAAUGUGGCAGCUUCGGCUGUGUUAUAGCCCCUGUUCACAUACAGUGGUUGGGAUUGAGGAACUCAGCACGCCGCAUGGCCGGGUUUCGACCACGUUCGUGCUUAGGAUGCUGGCAUAAUGGCUUUAAGCGACCCGUCUUGAAACACGGACCAAGGAGUCUAACAUGCCUGCGAGUAUUUGGGUGGAAAACCCAAGUGCGCAAUGAAAGUGAAAGUUGAGAUCCCUGUCGUGGGGAGCAUCGACGCCCGGACCAGAACUUUUGGGACGGAUCCGCGGUGGAGCAUGUAUGUUGGGACCCGAAAGAUGGUGAACUAUGCCUGAAUAGGGUGAAGCCAGAGGAAACUCUGGUGGAGGCUCGUAGCGAUUCUGACGUGCAAAUCGAUCG